UUUAUUUAAGGUUCUUUUUUUUUUGUGUGCAGUUCUCAAUUCUUUAAAGAGAUGACCACAAAUUUUGGUUUUCUACUGUUAUAUGAGAACAUUAGGCCCCAGCGACACAUCACUGGGUAAGGAAAAACAAAAGUGCUG